rnacentral:misc_RNA from 1 species
CCGAGUUUACAACUCCCAAACCCUCUGUGAACAUACCACUUGUUGCCUCGGCGGAUCAGCCCGCUCCCGGUAAGACGGGACGGCCCGCCAGAGGACCCCUAAACUCUGUUUCUAUAUGUAACUUCUGAGUAAAACCAUAAAUAAAUCA